ACCUUCGGGUCUAGCGGCGGACGGGUGAGUAACGCGUGGGAACGUGCCCUUCUCUACGGAAUAGCCCCGGGAAACUGGGAGUAAUACCGUAUACGCCCUUUGGGGGAAAGAUUUAUCGGAGAAGGAUCGGCCCGCGUUGGAUUAGGUAGUUGGUGGGGUAAUGGCCCACCAAGCCGACGAUCCAUAGCUGGUUUGAGAGGAUGAUCAGCCACACUGGGACUGAGACACGGCCCAGACUCCUACGGGAGGCAGCAGUGGGGAAUCUUAGACAAUGGGGGCAACCCUGAUCUAGCCAUGCCGCGUGAGUGAUGAAGGCCUUAGGGUUGUAAAGCUCUUUCAGCUGGGAAGAUAAUGACGGUACCAGCAGAAGAAGCCCCGGCUAACUCCGUGCCAGCAGCCGCGGUAAUACGGAGGGGGCUAGCGUUGUUCGGAAUUACUGGGCG
rnacentral:rRNA from 1 species